rnacentral:rRNA from 1 species
AUUGAACGCUGGCGGCAGGCCUAACACAUGCAAGUCGAGCGAGCGGCGGACGGGUGAGUAAUGUCUGGGAAACUGCCUGAUGGAGGGGGAUAACUACUGGAAACGGUAGCUAAUACCGCAUACCAUCAGAUGUGCCCAGAGGGGAUUAGCUAGUCGGUGGGGUAACGGCUCACCUAGGCGACGAUCCCUAGCUGGUCUGAGAGGAUGACCAGCCACACUGGAACGGAGAAACGGUCCAGACUCCUACGGGAGGCAGCAGUGGGGAAUAGUGCAAAAUGGGCGAAAGCCUGAUGCAGCCAUGCCGCGUGUGUGAAGAAGGCCGUAGGGGUGUAAAGCACUGUCAGCGGGGAGGCGUUACCCGAAGAAGAAGCACCGGCUAACUCCGUGCCAGCAGCCGCGGUAAUUC